UUUAACCAUCAUAUUACAGGUUGGUUUAAUUUUAUAAUUAAGAUUGGACCUCUAAGAUGUGCUUUAAGGAGACAUUUCUUAAUAUUAGUUUUUUGUUGGUACAAAAUAUGUUUAUCAAGUUUUUUGCACUAACUCCCUCUCAAAUGAAACAAUGUAAUGAUUUUCUUUUUCUUUGGCACAACUUGAAUGUUACUGUGGCUGGGCAAAGGACGCAUAGCUGGAGUGCUUUAACUCAACUGUCCGUCCUCAAAGAGGAGACGCCGGAGCAGGCGUGAGAGAGGCGCAUGAACUUAGACAAAGAGUGGAGUGUAAAAUAAGUGUGUGUGUGUGUGUGUGUGUGUGUGUGUGUGUGUGUUUGUCGUGCUCAGUAGCUGAGUAGUUGUAGUGUAAUUAAUGUUUUGCAAAUGUUUAUCUGUUAGACCUCCUUUAUUUCCCCUCGGACUGCUCACAUUGGCCCCUAGUGGGUGUGGCCACCUGGGCCCACGCCCAUUGGAUAAUCCGGCCCUGUGUCAUGUUCUGUGUCCCUUUGUUCCCCAGCCCCUCCAGUUCCCACUCCAGGUUUUCCUCUUGUGUCCCAUUAUUCUCCUCAGCCCUCACCCCUCUAGUUAUUGGUUGUUUAUAUUGGCCCUCAGUCCCUAAGUUUAGUUAUCUGUGUUUUAUAGUUUUAGGUUUAUCUGCCCUCCUCUGGUUUUGUUCCCCAUUUAGAUAAUUGUAUGCACCUGCUUUCCCUCCAGCCUUCACUCCACACACCUGCUGCCUGUUUCCCUAAUUGCUCCUCUCUGUGUAUAUAGGCCUUGUCUUGUCCUUCAGUAUUUGUUGGUCCAUUGUAUUUGUCUGAGCUGUUCUGUGUCCUCCCAUGUUUUUGUCUUGAGUCCUGUUUUUGAGACUUCAGUUUUUUUAGUUUUUAAUCGGUGGAUUAAGCCUCACCUUACAAGAAUAAAGCAUUUAUUUCUUUACCUCCGCUCCUGUCUGCGUGAUCUGGUGUUUCUGCAUCUUGGGUUCAAUUCUCCUGCCCAUCAACGUGACACCCUGGUCACAAACUGGGACUUUUCUAACGGCUUGUUUCAGGCACAGACUGCAAUUCCUGUUUGUCCCUGUUUAUUUUCUCUUAGUGAUUAAGCAGGAAAUAUUUUCACAUUCAGCCUGCAUGUGAAUCUCAGAGUGACUGAUCAUAAUUUAAAAAAUAACAAGUAAAAAUCAGUGAAUAUCCUCUUUAAAGUAAUCAUUGUGUGCAUCUGCCGCCAAAUGCAUGAUGUAAAAGCUUACUUCUCCUCGGAAGCCCUGAAAGUCGCUGCUCAGGAACUUGUGCAUGCACUCACAUAACAAAAUAGAUUUAGAAACAACCUCACUAUUGUUCCUCAUGCAGCUCAUUUUUCGUGUUGCUGUGUUGAAUCAGAGCACACACAGAGAGCUGGGGACAACACCAAAGCACCAAAGUGACCGUGCUGAGGAAAGCCUUUUUUCUCUUGCCUUUUCUUCGCAUCCACCCAUUUAUAGCAAAUUCACUGGCUGCCAAAUUUGAUAGAUAGCAGAAGGUGUCAUGGGGCUAGAAGAAACACAAAGGGUCCCUGAAGAGAAAAAGAAGAGAAAUUUGCCGACUCUGUGUGGGCAGCAUUAGUCCAACAUCCCUCCCUGGUGGGGAGGGGGUGGAGGGAUGGCGUGGACUAUAAAGGACCCCAGCUUUGUCAGGAUGUGAACGAUGGACAAUGCCGUCACUGUGCUGCUGAGAGCAGGAGCCGUGCUGCGACUGGUUCCAUAAGACUGCCAACGCUUGUCACACUUAUGCCUUUCUUUUGUUCGGGUCUUUCUUCAAUCUUGCUCUGAUUUCCUAGUAUUUCUGCACUUUCUGGUUUUAUUUUUCCCCUCUUCUCUUUGCAGUGGUCUCUUUUCCUUUCAUGAGCUUCACUUAUCUUGUCACAAAGAAAAUAAUUUACCUCUGCAACUUGUCUGCGUAAACAUUUACACCCUGAUGGGCUUUUAAAACACAGGAUUGCGUCAGUGCUAGAGAUCAUUUACUGUCUCGUUUUUCAACACUUUGUGUUUUUGAUAAAACCAUUAAAUUCAAUAUCUC